AUACUUACCUUAAGACGUCGGAGGAGAUCAAGAAGUCCUUCCGACCGGAUAUAUCUUUCUUGAGCGAUGCCCGUCUUUUACAGGAGGCAGGUUCGCUUGCUCAGUUGCUUUGCAACUGCACACACUUGCGAAAGGUGUAUUUGCUGACGCUUCGUUCUCUCGUUCCGCUUGUGGGCUACUGUCUUCCACCUGGGAGGCAGGGGUCUACUUGUCGGGGCCCUUUGUUUCUUCUGCCUGGAGAAGGAUGGUGCUGAUUACAAGUCAGCGCUGGGAGAGCUGGGUGCAGAGCUGAUUGAUCCAGUUACUGGACCCUCAGUCUUGUGUGGUAGUCGAUUCCUGUGUACAGCGGGCACUGGUGUUUUUGGUGUUGUUUUCGGACGGCGCCGAAGGCUACUGGAGCACGCAGGUGCACGGAGAAGGUGUGCUACCCAGGGCAGCUCUGCAUUUGGUAGGGGCGGGUAGGUCUUAUAAUUUUUGAUGUUCAAUCUU
rnacentral:snRNA from 1 species